GGGUAAUAAAUGUGUGUUAGCCAGACCCAGAAAACUGUGAGUCUCUGAUUAGGAUACUACGGACCGAAGAAGUUGCCUGGCUGAUGUAGAGCUUUCCUGAUCUAGCCCUCUAUCUCACCUACUCGCUCCCAGCUGUAGUGUAAAAAGAAAUGGAACAGGACAUGCCUCCAGCCAGUACUGAGAUGUGGGAUUCUGACUACAGUUCAGAUGAAGAGAUAUCCACUAAGAAGGAUCAGCACUCGCGUCUGGGAGAGGAUAACUUGGAUGACACACUGGAGUAUGACUUCUCUGGCCCAGCCUUGAGAAGGGAGAGGCUGGGAUCCCAAAAAACACUGAUUGUGGGACAAUAACCCAGCAGAAAGCGAGGAUGCCAGACAGCCAAAGGAUAGAAACUGAGAGAAUCAAGUGCUCUCGGCUGUGCCUGACCCAUCCAAUGGCUGAUUUAUUUAAUUUCUUUGUAUCAAAGCUAUUUUUGUCACUUUCUCAGCCAGCAUGGGAAUUGGAGAGACAGAGGUGGAAGGCCCUGUGUUCUGUUCCCCCCCCCCCCCCCCAAAGCCAACUAGUCCUCAUCUUGAUCUGGAUUCAGAUUGAACAGACAUCCUAGAGAUGAAAGGUACAACUAGAAGAAUAGCCCAUCGGUCUUGGAAAACAAAGGGAAAAAAUUAUAGUGCUGUCUCUCAAUGGCUCUGGCCUCAGCUAUCAAACUGUCCUUGCAGAAGUUCAGGGGAAGCUGGAGACUUACAAGUGCAGUUGCAAGAUUGGGGUCUGUAGUGGCAUUUCUUGCAUAUAGUUACAAAGAUCUGUGUGGUGGUGGUUGUGUUUUUUAAGGGGUAUUAAUAAAGCUGUCUAUUUACAUCCACA